AUUCUGGAUCUGCUUCGAACCUGGAAUAUCCGGAUGGUCACCAUCAUGUCCGUAAUGCUGUGGUAUGUAAAAGAGACCUGCCUGAGGCUUCCAGACAAAGCUUCUUGAAGUGGCCAUUGGGCCUCUUGUUUACAGACAUGCCUCAGACCAAAAUUCAAAGCCUAUGUCAUCAGAGAGUGAAAAGGAUAUGUCUUGUGUUAGAUGGAAAAAAUGGGCAUGUCACAAUUCUUAAUGGGAUGGAACCUCAGAAAAGGAGAAUGAAAACAAUUGUGGAGGCUGUUGUGGGAAAUAUGGACUCUUGUGGGGAAUCUCUCCAGAUCUUAAGAUGAAUCCUUGCCCAAUUUGGGUCAUUUAGUUUCCGUCUCCUACCCAGUUACUGACAGUGGCUGAGGAGGCCAGGUAGGGCUUUUAAGAAGGAUCUGAGUGAAGACACCAUGUCCUGUAGGCUGCAGAGGCUGCCAGUUACUUGGGAUGUGCUCCUCCUGGGAUGUCCAUAAACGGUCCUGGAGUCAGGGCUAUAGCCUAGAUGUCCUUACCAGGUUCCCACUAAUGAGGCAAAGUAUGUCAGAAAGGGAUUUGUGAAUUACCAGGGAGAGGAAACAUGUCCAAGUGCACAUCGCUAGCUUUUGCUCAGCGGCCGAACCCUGGGAUUCUAGGCGACUUCUGGAGCCUGGUGGGUUAGCGGUGAGAAGAUGGGCGAGGAGAGCAGACUUCAUCUCAGAGUCCUUAUUACUAGUCUCAUCCAGCUUUGAGGCAGUCAGCCACUGUGCCUACUGAGGGAGUGCUAUGAGUCACCCGCUUCCAAGGAAUGGCCCAGGAUCCCUCCAGGCAGUUCACCAUUCCCUGAGUUGGCCUCAAGACAGGAGCAGCAUGUAGCCUGCACCACAGACAUGCAAGCCUGUGAUGAGUCACCCACUUUUGUGUUCACCCAGGCUCUCCUCCCUGCUCUGGAUUUCCUGGGGACUCAUGCACAUACUCUUUUUAUUGUACCAGCUGUGUGUUCCACCUGCAGAUGAGUCAAAACAGUCUAAUCCAUAAAGGUCUGGUUUGUCAAAGAGUGUGGGUCAUCAACAGAGAGAAUGCCUACUGGGGAUGCCCAGGUCAGGGGUACUGCAGGGCAUCCUGAUGAGAGGCAGUGUGGCCCCUCCAUUGGGAGCCACCUGUCUGCUCCACAAGUACCGCGGGGCUGGUGUCAGCUGUCUCUGACCAGCCUCUUCCUGACGGUCACCACAGGUAGUGUGUGAGGGUCUCUCUCCAAGUGUUUGACCUAAUGUUGUUCCUUUUGUUAUCUUAUCCCCCAAAUCCUAUCACACCUCACUUGAUGUCUGCCUCCUGACUCAUUCUCUAGCUCCUUCUGCAGUUGCUGGAUUUGAGGAGGUUCAGCUUAGGAUUUUUAAAGCUGAAAGGCAGGUUGGAAUUUUUCUUUUCAAUGAAGUAAAUCUAUCUGAAUUAUACAAGCUUUUUUGCUGGGACACUGUCUAUAUGGAAGGCUCUGAGAGUGCACUGGCGCAGGGUUUACACUGUACCACUUGGGCUGGGGAAAAUUAUCUUUUGAUCUAUGAAGUAAGAUGCAGGGUUACAGUUACUGCUGCCUUACUAGUCUCUGCUUAAAGAUGGUUUGGAAUUUACUGAAAUAAUUGCAUUGUAAAAGUUGUACAGGUUGGGAAAGAUGUGGAUACUGCUUUUCUAGCUUUCUUCUGCACUCUGUUUCAGGAUGACCAUAUCAGUGGGCUAUUUUGGGCUUUCGCUUGAUACUCCUAACUUGCAUGGGGACAUCUUUGUGAACUGCUUCCUUUCAGCGAUGGUUGAAGUCCCAGCAUAUGUGUUGGCCUGGCUGCUGCUGCAAUAUUUGCCCCGGCGCUAUUCCAUGGCCACUGCCCUCUUCCUGGGUGGCAGUGUCCUUCUCUUCGUGCAGCUGGUACCCCCAGACUUGUAUUAUUUGGCUACAGUCCUGGUGAUGGUGGGCAAGUUUGGAGUCACGGCUGCCUUUUCCAUGGUCUACGUGUACACAGCCGAGCUGUAUCCCACAGUUGUGAGAAACAUGGGUGUGGGAGUCAGCUCCACAGCAUCCCGCCUGGGCAGCAUCCUGUCUCCCUACUUCGUUUACCUUGGUGCCUACGACCGCUUCCUGCCCUACAUUCUCAUGGGAAGUCUGACCAUCCUGACAGCCAUCCUCACCUUGUUUCUCCCAGAGAGCUUCGGUACCCCACUCCCGGACACCAUUGACCAGAUGCUAAGAGUCAAAGGAAUGAAACACAGAAAAACUCCAAGUCACACAAGGAUGUUAAAAGAUGGUCAAGAAAGGCCCACAAUCCUUAAAAGCACAGCCUUCUAACAUCGCCUCCAGUAAGGGAGAAACUGAAGAGGAAAGACUGUCUUGCCAGAAAUGGCCAGCUUGUGCAGACUCCGAGUCCUUCAGUGACAAAGGCCUUUGCUGUUUGUCCUCUUGACCUGUGUCUGACUUGCUCCUGGAUGGGCACCCACACUCAGAGGCUACAUAUGGCCCUAGAGCACCACCUUCCUCUAGGGACACUGUGGCUACCUACAGACAACUUCAUCUAAGUCCUAACUAUUACAAUGAUGGACUCAGCACCUCCAAAGAAGUUAAUUUUUCACUAGAACCAGUGAGAUCUGGAGGAAUGUGAGAAGCAUAUGCUAAAUGUACAUUUUAAUUUUAGACUACUUGAAAAGACCCCUAAUAAGGCUAGAGGUCUAAGUCCCCCACCCCUUUCCCCACUCCCCUCUAGUGGUGAAAUUUAGAGGAAAAGGAAGUAAUUGCACAAGGAGUUUGAUUCUUACCUUUUCUCAGUUACAGAGGACAUUAACUGGAUCAUUGCUUCCCCAGGGCAGGAGAGCGCAGAGCUAGGGAAAGCGAAAGGUAAUGAAGAUGGAGCAGAAUGAGCAGAUGCAGAUCACCAGCAAGUGCACUGAUGUGUGAGCUCUUAAGACCACUCAGCAUGACGACUGAGUAGACUUGUUUACAUCUGAUGAAAGCACUGGGCUUGUCCAGGCUCAUACUAAAUGCUCCAUUGAAUCUACUAUUCUUGUUUUCCACUGCUGUGGAAACCUCCUUGCUACUAUAGCGUCUUAUGUAUGGUUUAAAGGAAAUUUAUCAGGUGAGAGAGAUGAGCAACGUUGUCUUUUCUCUCAAAGCUGUAAUGUGGGUUUUGUUUUAUUGUUUAUUUGUUUGUUGUUGUAUUCUUUUCUCCUUAAGUUAUUUGCCCUUCAGAAUGCACUUGGGAAAGGCUGGUUCCUUAGCCUCCUGGUUUGUGUCUUUUUUUUUUUUUUUUUUUUAAACACAGAAUCACUCUGGCAAUUGUCUGCAGCUGCCACUGGUGCACGGCCUUACCAGCCCUAGCCUCUAGCACUUCUCUAAGUGCCAAAAACAGUGUCAUUGUGUGUGUUCCUUUCUUGAUACUUAGUCAUGGGAGGAUAUUACACAAAAGAAAUUUAAAUUAUGUUCAUAGUCUUUCAGAGUAGCUCACUUUAGUCCUGUAACUUUAUUGGGUGAUAUUUUGUGUUCAGUGUAAUUGUCUUCUCUUUGCUGAUUAUGUUACCAUGGUACUCCUAAAGCAUAUGCUUCACCUGGUUAAAAAAGAACAAACAUGUUUUUGUGAAAGCUACUGAAGUGCCUUGGGAAAUGAGAAAGUUUUAAUAAGUAAAAUGAUUUUUUAAAUAAC
rnacentral:sRNA from 1 species